AUUGAACGCUGGCGGCAGGCCUAACACAUGCAAGUCGAGCGGAUGAAGGGAGCUUGCUCCUGGAUUCAGCGGCGGACGGGUGAGUAAUGCCUAGGAAUCUGCCUGGUAGUGGGGGAUAACGUCCGGAAACGGGCGCUAAUACCGCAUACGUCCUGAGGGAGAAAGUGGGGGAUCUUCGGACCUCACGCUAUCAGAUGAGCCUAGGUCGGAUUAGCUAGUUGGUGGGGUAAAGGCCUACCAAGGCGACGAUCCGUAACUGGUCUGAGAGGAUGAUCAGUCACACUGGAACUGAGACACGGUCCAGACUCCUACGGGAGGCAGCAGUGGGGAAUAUUGGACAAGGGGCGAAAGCCUGAUCCAGCCAUGCCGCGUGUGUGAAGAAGGUCUUCGGAUUGUAAGCACUUUAAGUUGGGAGGAAGGGCAGUAAGUUAAUACCUUGCUGUUUUGACGUUACCAACAGAAUAAGCACCGGCUAACUUCGUG
rnacentral:rRNA from 1 species